rnacentral:rRNA from 1 species
GCGCUAACUUUUGACUUGACCUCAAAUCAGGUAGGACUACCCGCUGAACUUAAGCAUAUCAAUAAGCGGAGGAAAAGAAACUAACAAGGAUUCCCCUAGUAACUGCGAGUGAAGCGGGAAAAGCUCAAAUUUAAAAUCUGGCGGUCUCCGGCCGUCCGAGUUGUAAUUUAGAGAAGCGUUAUCCGUGCUGGACCGUGUAUAAGUCUCCUGGAAUGGAGCGUCAUAGAGGGUGAGAAUCCCGUCUUUGACACGGACUACCAGUGCAUUGUGAUGCGCUCUCGACGAGUCGAGUUGUUUGGGAAUGCAGCUCAAAAUGGGUGGUAAAUGCCAUCUAAAGCUAAAUAUUGGCGAGAGACCGAUAGCGAACAAGUACCGUGAGGGAAAGAUGAAAAGAACUUUGGAAAGAGAGUUAAACAGUACGUGAAAUUGUCGAAAGGGAAACGGUUGCAGUCAGUCGCGUUCGCCGGGGAUCAACCUUGCUUUUGCUUGGCGUAUUUCCCGGUGGAUGGGUCAGCAUCAGUUUUGACCGCAGUUGAAAGGCUGGAGGAAUGUGGCACCUUCGGGUGUGUUAUAGCCUCCUGUCAUAUGCUGCGGUUGGGACUGAGGAACUCAGCACGCCGCAAGGCCGGGAUUCGUCCACGUUCGUGCUUAGGAUGCUGGCAUAAUGUCUGUAACCGACCCGUCUUGAAACACGGACCAAGGAGUCUAACAUGCACGCGAGUGUUUGGGUGGCAAACCCGAGCGCGUAAUGAAAGUGAAAGUUGAGACCUCUGUCGUGGAGGGCAUCGACGCCCGGACCAGAACUUUUGGGACGGAUCCGCGGUAGAGCGUGUAUGUU